rnacentral:rRNA from 1 species
GACGAACGCUGGCGGCGUGCUUAACACAUGCAAGUCGAACGAUGAAGCCCUUUCGGGGGUGGAUUAGUGGCGAACGGGUGAGUAACACGUGGGUAACCUGCCCUGUACCCUGGGAUAAGCCUUGGAAACGAGGUCUAAUACCGGAUAUGACCUGCUCUCGCAUGGGGGUGGGUGGAAAGUUUUGGCGGUGCAGGAUGGACCCGCGGCCUAUCAGCUUGUUGGUGGGGUNAUGGCCUACCAAGGCGACGACGGGUAGCCGGCCUGAGAGGGCGACCGGCCACACUGGGACUGAGACACGGCCCAGACUCCUACGGGAGGCAGCAGUGGGGAAUAUUGCACAAUGGGCGAAAGCCUGAUGCAGCGACGCCGCGUGAGGGAUGACGGCCUCGGUUGUAA